rnacentral:rRNA from 1 species
UUCUAGUGUAGAGGUGAAAUUCGUAGAUAUUAGAAAGAAUACCAAUUGCGAAGGCAGCUUUCUGGAUCAUUACUGACACUGAGGAACGAAAGCAUGGGUAGCGAAGAGGAUUAGAUACCCUCGUAGUCCAUGCCGUAAACGAUGUGUGUUAGACGUUGGAAAUUUAUUUUCAGUGUCGCAGGGAAACCGAUAAACACACCGCCUGGGGAGUACGACCGCAAGGUUAAAACUCAAAUGAAUUGACGGGGACCCGCACAAGUAGUGGAGCAUGUGGUUUAAUUCGAAGAUACGCGCAGAACCUUACCAACACUUGACAUGUUCGUCGCGACUCUAAGAGAUUAGAGUUUUCGGUUCGGCCGGACGAAACACAGGUGCUGCAUGGCUGUCGUCAGCUCGUGUCGUGAGAUGUUGGGUUAAGUCCCGCAACGAGCGCAACCCUCACUUUUAGUUGCCAUCAUUAAGUUGGGCACUCUGAAAGAACUGCCAGUGAUAAGCUGGAGGAAGGUGGGGAUGACGUCAAGUCCUCAUGGCCCUUACGUGUUGGGCUACACACGUGCUACAAUGGUAUCUACAACAGGAAGCAAGACUGCGAAGUUAAGCAAAUCCCUAAAAGAUACCUCAGUUCGGAUUGCACUCUGCAACUCGAGUGCAUGAAGCUGGAAUUACUAGUAAUCGUGGAUCAGCGUGCCACGGUGAAUGCGUUCCCGGGUCUUGUACACACCGCCCGUCACACCAUGGGAGUUGGUUCUACCUUAAGGCAAGGUUUCAAACCCUUGACCACGGUAUAGUCAGCGACUGGGGGG